UUACACUCAAGUGAAGGUGUGGUUUAAAUAUGAGUAUUUUCAAGUUCUUCUUUAAGUCGUACUACCUCAAUUGGUAGAUGUGGUAAACAGGAUUAAAAGUGUUGAGUGAUUUUUAAAUUUUGAGAACAGUUCUUUAAUAGCAAGGCAAGAAAUUGUUAAUUUGUUUAACCCUCUGGUAUAGUACAUUUAAUUAGCAUGAGAGCGCAACAACGCUAUGAAUGUGUUGGCAUAGCAAUGUGAUACUUCCCGUUUCCUUUUCCGCCCAUCCUACGAAGGCCAUCUCGUUUAAUUCUGGGAUGAGGAUACUCCGUAUACGAAUCUUUCAGAGGAUGCGACGUCCAGAGGACGCAGCCUUCGAAAUGAGACACAGCUAAUAAUUCAACCCUGCAGUGCCAGAGGGGCUAGUCGAUGUUUUAAAUGCAGAGAGUGGCAUUCACGUAAAAUAAAUAAACAGAAAUAUGCGCAAACUGGACCGAAUUGGAGACAACAGGACUCUUCAGUAUCCAGUUGUGUGUGAUCCAGUUGUGUAUGAGCAAAUUAAAAACUAAAUGCAACAGCGUGGUUUCUCAAUUAAGAAAUCACAGGUAAUAAGUCAACUCAAGUCUCUGCGGAAAAAAAAUCCACCAAGUGCAGAUCACAACGGAAAGAGCAGCAGCGGAAGAUUAGAAUGGCCUUUCUACAAUUUAUGUUACAAUAUAUAGGGAACAAGCCACUCGGCUAACCCAGGAGCGUUACUGGGCAGUAUGGACUUGUCUCCGUGUAGGAAUGAGGAACAUGAGUUAUCAGCAGAACUGACUAAUUCUGCCGAAGUUGCCGCUGCUUCUUGUACCUUGGUGUCCACCCGGUGCUUCCAGUCAGACAGUCGAAGAAAUUUCCAGUGAAAGCAAUUCAGAAUCCCCUCAACCACCCCCUGCUAAAAAAGCCAGAAAACGCCAGUCUAGGACUGAAUUAAUUGUGAAAGAGGUGAAGGACCUCUUUUUCUAAAUGGACAGGGACUUUGAGGAGAGGGAACGUGUUCGGUUGGCAGAGCAGAGGGAGUAUGAGAAGCGACUGAGGAGGGAGGAAGAUGCUGCGCGAGCUACAGGAGACC